rnacentral:rRNA from 1 species
UACGUAGGGUGCAGGCGUUAAUCGGAAUUACUGGGCGUAAAGCGUGCGCAGGCGGCUUUGCAAGACAGAUGUGAAAUCCCCGGGCUCAACCUGGGAACUGCAUUUGUGACUGCAAGGCUAGAGUACGGUAGAGGGGGAUGGAAUUCCGCGUGUAGCAGUGAAAUGCGUAGAUAUGCGGAGGAACACCGAUGGCGAAGGCAAUCCCCUGGACCUGUACUGACGCUCAUGCACGAAAGCGUGGGGAGCAAACAGG